AGUGAACGCUGGCGGUAGGCCUAACACAUGCAAGUCGAACGGCAGCACAGUAAGAGCUUGCUCUUACGGGUGGCGGGUGGCGGACGGGUGAGGAAUACAUCGGCAUCUACUUUUUCGUGGGGGAUAACGUAGGGAAACUUACGCUAAUACCGCAUACGACCUACGGGUGAAAGCAGGGGAUCUUCGGACCUUGCGCGAUUGAAUGAGCCGAUGUCGGAUUAGCUAGUUGGCGGGGUAAAGGCCCACCAAGGCGACGAUCCGUAGCUGGUCUGAGAGGAUGAUCAGCCACACUGGAACUGAGACACGGUCCAGACUCCUACGGGAGGCAGCAGUGGGGAAUAUUGGACAAUGGGCGCAAGCCUGAUCCAGCCAUACCGCGUGGGUGAAGAAGGCCUUCGGGUUGUAAAGCCCUUUUGUUGGGAAAGAAAAGCAGCAGGUUAAUACCCCGCUGUUCUGACGGUACCCAAAGAAUAAGCACCGGCUAACUUCGUG
rnacentral:rRNA from 1 species